UAUAUUUAAUGGAUCAGCUACAUUUCCAGUGCUAAGGAGUUGCACGAAACUGUUGGUUUCUGUAUAAGAGAGCAUGGGGGUAAGAGGCUUGAUCCAACUCGGGGUGGAUGUUUUUGACAGUAACUCCUGGAGGAUAGUAUGUGACUGAACCACUGGAAUUGCUCAAGUCUAAACCUGCUUUUCUUUUUUUUUCAGGCUCUGUGUGCUCCGGGAUGGAGCAGGUGUGCAGAGGGUGAGAAUCCAGGUCUGGGACCAAGUCACUUGCUUCCUUACUUAGCAAGACUAUCGACUUGAGCAAACUUGGACCUGGGAUGAGGAUGUCUGUGGGCCUCUCGCUGCUGCUGCCCCUCUGGGGGAGGACCUUUCUCCUCCUGCUCUCUGUGGUUAUGGCUCAGUCCCACUGGCCCAGUGAACCCUCAGAGGCUGUCAGGGACUGGGAAAACCAGCUUGAGGCAUCCAUGCACUCAGUGCUCUCAGACCUCCACGAGGCUGUUCCCACAGUGGUUGGCAUUCCUGAUGGCACGGCUGUCGUCGGGCGCUCAUUUCGAGUGACCAUUCCAACAGAUUUGAUUGCCUCCAGUGGAGAUAUCAUCAAGGUAUCAGCGGCAGGGAAGGAGGCUUUGCCAUCUUGGCUGCACUGGGACUCACAGAGCCACAUCCUGGAGGGCCUCCCCCUUGACACUGAUAAGGGUGUGCAUUACAUUUCAGUGA
rnacentral:sRNA from 1 species